rnacentral:rRNA from 1 species
GAUGAACGCUAGCGGGAGGCCUAACACAUGCAAGCCGAGCGGGAUUUGUUGGUUAGCUUGCUCACUAACAAUGAGAGCGGCGUACGGGUGCGUAGCACGUGUGCAACCUGCCUUUAUCUGGGGGAUAGCCUUUCGAAAGGAAGAUUAAUACCCCAUAACAUAUUGAUUGGCAUCAGUUAAUAUUGAAAGCUCCGGCGGAUAGAGAUGGGCACGCGUAAGAUUAGCUAGUUGGUGAGGUAACGGCUCACCAAGGCUGCGAUCUUUAGGGGGCCUGAGAGGGUGAUCCCCCACACUGGUACUGAGACACGGACCAGACUCCUACGGGAGGCAGCAGUGAGGAAUAUUGGACAAUGGUUGAGAGCCUGAUCCAGCCAUCCCGCGUGAAGGACUAAGGACCUAUGGUUUGUAAACUUCUUUUAUACAGGGAUAAGCCUACUCUCGUGAGGGUAGCUGAAGGUACUGUAUGAAUAAGCACCGGCUAACUCCGUG